CACAGACAGUGGUAUCUGUGAGCAGCUCUGUGGACUCAAAGGUUUUCUCCCUGAGAGGCGUAACCCAGGCCAGCUGAUUCAUCAGAAUCAGGAAACUGGGCAUCUCUGUGGUCCCUGAGCAUCCCAGGAGGCCGACUGUACAGAGACCUCUGGUCCCUGACCCCAGUCUGCCUCCACAUCCCUGGAAUAGCCCAUCAUGGGCCCUUCAACCUUGGCAGGUGGACACCAUUCAACAUGCUGGGGCAGGAUGGACAUGGUAGAGGAUGUGGAUACUUUGCAGGAGUGAGAGGACAUCAUUAUGAAGUAUGAGAACGUACAGGGACACCGAGCUGGGCUGCCAGCAGACACGGGGCCUAAAGCCUGUUGGAAUCUACAGCAGCACUGAUCGCUUUGGGAUUCUGCAGCUGAGCCCUGAGCUGGAUGGGACAGAGCCAGUCCUUUCUGGGGGUCGGCUCCCAGACCGAGAUGGCUCCAAACCUUGUGCAAGUCCUCAGCUCUGCCUGGGCUGCAUUACAGUGAGAAGGAACUGCCCGGUCAGAGCCCGGGAGGUGAAGCAAAUGCGGCAGGAGAUGAGAUGAAAGAGCAAGUGGAUGGAAAUGCUGGGAGAAUGGGAGACAUAUCAGAACAGCAAAAAAGUAAUGUGUGGAGGGAGAGGCCCCCAGAACCACUCUCUGCAGAGACAGGGGACAGGCACCCAUGGCUGUGGCCUGGCACCGUCAGCCUCUCAGAGGGCAGGUGGCACACAGUGCUCACCCAGAGGACCGCAGGCCUGGUUGCCAGCUUUACUGCCCGUUCAUGCAAGCAUCACCUUGCUGAGAGGGAAUCUGAAUCUAGGGCUGGGGAUGCCUCCUGCUGACCCGAAGGAAAGAAAAGGUCCAGAUCAGAGUUCAGGACUCUGAGUGCCCACACACUCUUUCAAUCCUGCGAAGGGAGACCCUGUCCCAGCUUGACCUCACCUUUACCGAGGAAUCAUGGGGCCAAAACCAAAGAUUUCCAGGAUCCUCGGGCUCUGGUCCUGGCUGGGGUCAUCCCAUGGCCUGUGACACCAGAUCGUUUUCUGCCCACAGCUAAUUGAUUGAGUGUAUAAGGGCAUUCCCAUGAACAUCCAGGGCCAGGUGUGGUCAGUCCUCCUGAACAUUCAGGAAAUCAAGAUGAAAAAUCCCAGAAAAUACCAGGUCAUGAAGGAGAAGGGCAAGAGAUCCUCUGAACACAUCCACCAGGUCUACCUGGACAUGAGCUGGACACUAGGGAACCACAUCUUCUUCAGGGAUCGAUAUGGAGUCAAGCAGCGGGAACUAUUCUACAUCCUCCUGGCAUAUUCAGAGUAUAACCCAGAUUCCACAGCCCAAAUGGCGGGACAGUUCAGGGGCUCCAAGACCAUCAGGAGCAUGUGGUACCCAUGUAACAACCCAAGACCAUGUGUCAUCUGGACAAGGAAGGUCAAUGCACACAGGGUUCCUCAUUCAGCUGGCUUCUCUGGGUGCUGAAUGAUGGGAUCUCUCUCGGGCUCACCCCGUGCCUGUGGGACAUAUAUUUGCUGGAAGGGGAACAGAUGUUGAUGCUGAUAACAAGCACUGCCUUUAAGGUUCAGAGGACAAAACCCGAGAAAGGGUCCUCAGGACCCAGGUCUGUGCUGGCAUCACAUGGCGGGAAGACCCUCUGCAAGGGGGACAGGAAGGCCCUUCCCGGCCCACCAGCCCGGUUCCAGCGGCCCAUUUGGUCCGCUUCUCCACCUCGUCCUACACCCUGUCCUGGUGGGGCUGUCCAUGAGGCCAAGGCCCAGGAACAUGUGGGGGCUUCUGGGGAGCCCAGGGCAGCAGACCACUCUCUGGGGGCACCUGGGACUCAGGGCAUGCCCAGCCUGGCCCCGGCUCAGGGAGGACCUCGGCGUUCCUGGAGAUUCCUGCAGUGGAACUCUAUGCUCCAGCUCCCGACGGACCUGGAUGUGGGGGGCCCUUGGUUCCCCCAUGACGAUUUCAAACAGAGCUGCUGGGUCCAUGUCCCUUCUAAAUGUGUCCUGGACAGCCCCGGGACCAUGGGACAGGCCUAGCCCAGGGAGCCCAAGGGGACCCUGACACCGGGCCCAGCCCAGGCCCAUCAGGACUAAGAGGGAGGUCGGGAGAUAACCCCGCUGCAACAUGGGCACCUGCAUCUGGUCACCGAAGCCAGGGUGGCACCCCGCCAGCUGCCCUGCAGCCCCAGACACCUGGAAAAUCCCAUUCAAUGGGGAGGCCGGUCCCACCAAGGCCACGAGAGACAGAGAGUACUCCCACCAAAGAGAAUUACUAUGGAGGAUGAUGUUGGUCCUGAGUUGAGCAAAACAGCAUGCCCUGUGGAUGGAGCCGGCUUCUUUCCAAGCCACCACACUUGCUGGAUGGGCCCACGGAGCGAGUGGCCUUGAGACCGGCAUGAGGAUGGAAGAGGCUCAGCAUCCUGCACAUGCCCUUUCCAAGGCUCACCAGGCUGACACCACAUUUGUGGAUGAGAGACUCACACCCAGUCCCUGGGAUGGCACAAUUUCCCAGGAGGAUCAGCUGGCCACCUGCUGGCAGGCUGACCACACUGCGAAGGGGCUGAGAUUGGCUUUCACUGCACUGAGCCACAAUAUGGACAUGGACUUGUGGGCCCUGCAGUGCACACAGCAUUGCCUCCGAGCAGGACACCCCAUUCACAGCUAGGGACAAGCAGCAGUGCGCUUCCACCUCGGGGCCUUGGCUCUGCCACCUCUAUUUUGAAUGUUCUCAGUUCCCUCCAGGCUACUAGAAGCAUCUGGGCCAGGGCUCAUGGCUAGAUAAGCACCCGAGAUCCCAAACAAGCUUCCCAUCCUCGUUUUACUUUUUGUUAAACUUAUGAAAAUUUAUUAAGAUAUGACUUACAUCCCUGGUAAGUGCACAGCUCAAAAGACAUUCAGAGAUGGAACACACCAGCCCCCAGAUCACAAAGCCAACCAUGCCCAGCCCUUCCCAGCACCCCCAGCCCUGAAACCUGACUUCUGACGACACCAUGAGCCUGCCUUUAUACUUUACACUCAUGGAAGGAUAACCAUCUUCAUGUUGUAAAAUAAAUGUUUACUGUUGAAAUGA
ensembl:lncRNA TBC1D3P5 TBC1 domain family member 3 pseudogene 5